UUUAUCACAAUAUAUAUAAGGGUGUGUUUGGUUCGAGUUAUUCUGACAGAAUUACAGGUAAUCAUGUCAGGAUUACUAUGUUUGGUUCAUCCGCUAUAUAAUAUAGUCGUUAAUUUACGUAGCAUUACAAAUCGAGCAGAAUUACACCGAAAAUAUUAACGAGAUGAAGGUUGUGUAUCUUACAUUACUGAAAACUGGUAAUACUACAUAGUAUGUAAAAUGAUAAUUUUACCCUCCAACGCCCCCAAACCUAAUUAACAGUAUAGUUUUCAUCUCUCAGUCACACGCCCUCCUCUCUCUCUCUCUCUCUCUCUCUCUCUCUCUCUCUCUCUCUCUGUCUCUCUGUCUCUCUCUCUCGCGCGCGCGCGCGCGGACGAACACCUAUCAUCUUCUUUUAUUAUAUGAUUUUUCAUAAGUAUAAUGAUCUUUUUUCU
rnacentral:lncRNA from 1 species